AUUAAACGCUGGCGGCAUGCCUUACACAUGCAAGUCGAACGGCAGCACGGGGGCAACCCUGGUGGCGAGUGGCGGACGGGUGAGUAAUACAUCGGAACGUGCCCUGGAGUGGGGGAUAACGCAGCGAAAGCUACGCUAAUACCGCAUAUUCUGUGAGCAGGAAAGCAGGGGAUCGCAAGACCUUGCGCUUUGGGAGCGGCCGAUGUCGGAUUAGCUAGUUGGUGGGGUAAAGGCCUACCAAGGCGACGAUCCGUAGCGGGUCUGAGAGGAUGAUCCGCCACACUGGGACUGAGACACGGCCCAGACUCCUACGGGAGGCAGCAGUGGGGAAUUUUGGACAAUGGGCGGAAGCCUGAUCCAGCCAUGCCGCGUGAGUGAAGAAGGCCU
rnacentral:rRNA from 1 species